CAGUCGCCGCGGUAAUACAGAGGGUGCGAGCGUUAAUCGGAUUUACUGGGCGUAAAGCGUGCGUAGGCGGCUUCUUAAGUCGGAUGUGAAAUCCCUGAGCUUAACUUAGGAAUUGCAUUCGAUACUGGGAAGCUAGAGUAUGGGAGAGGAUGGUAGAAUUCCAGGUGUAGCGGUGAAAUGCGUAGAGAUCUGGAGGAAUACCGAUGGCGAAGGCAGCCAUCUGGCCUAAUACUGACGCUGAGGUACGAAAGCAUGGGGAGCAAACAGGAUUAGAUACCCUGGUAGUCCCUGUCUCUUAUAC
rnacentral:rRNA from 1 species